rnacentral:rRNA from 1 species
GUGCAGCAGGCGCGAAAACUUUACAAUGCGGGCAACCGUGAUAAGGAAACCCCGAGUGCCAGCAUAGGCUGGCUGUCCACCAGUGUAAACAACUGGUGAAGAAAGGGCCGGGCAAGACCGGUGCCAGCCGCCGCGGUAAUACCGGCGGCUCGAGUGGUGGCCGCUUUUACUGGGCUUAAAGGGUCCGUAGCUGGAUUUGCAAGUCCCUUGAGAAAUCUAUUUGCUUAACAGAUAGGCGUUCAGGGGAAACUGUGAUUCUAGGGACCGGGAGAGGUAAGAGGUACUGCCGGGGUAGGA